AAAUUGAAGAGUUUGAUCAUGGCUCAGAUUGAACGCUGGCGGCAGGCCUAACACAUGCAAGUCGAACGGUAACAGGAAGCAGCUUGCUGCUUUGCUGACGAGUGGCGGACGGGUGAGUAAUGUCUGGGAAACUGCCUGAUGGAGGGGGAUAACUACUGGAAACGGUGGCUAAUACCGCAUAACGUCGCAAGACCAAAGAGGGGGACCUUCGGGCCUCUUGCCAUCAGAUGUGCCCAGAUGGGAUUAGCUUGUUGGUGAGGUAACGGCUCACCAAGGCGACGAUCCCUAGCUGGUCUGAGAGGAUGACCAGCCACACUGGAACUGAGACACGGUCCAGACUCCUACGGGAGGCAGCAGUGGGGAAUAUUGCACAAUGGGCGCAAGCCUGAUGCAGCCAUGCCGCGUGUAUGAAGAAGGCCUUCGGGUUGUAAAGUACUUUCAGCGGGGAGGAAGGUGUUGUGGUUAAUAACCGCAGCAAUUGACGUUACCCGCAGAAGAAGCACCGGCUAACUCCGUGCCAGCAGCCGCGGUAAUACGGAGGGUGCAAGCGUUAAUCGGAAUUACUGGGC
rnacentral:rRNA from 1 species